rnacentral:rRNA from 1 species
GACGAACGCUGGCGGCGUGCUUAACACAUGCAAGUCGAACGGAAAGGCCCUGCUUUUGUGGGGUGCUCGAGUGGCGAACGGGUGAGUAACACGUGAGUAACCUGCCCUUGACUUUGGGAUAACUUCAGGAAACUGGGGCUAAUACCGGAUAGGAGCUCCUGCUGCAUGGUGGGGGUUGGAAAGUUUCGGCGGUUGGGGAUGGACUCGCGGCUUAUCAGCUUGUUGGUGGGGUAGUGGCUUACCAAGGCUUUGACGGGUAGCCGGCCUGAGAGGGUGACCGGCCACAUGGGGACUGAGAUACGGCCCAGACUCCUACGGGAGGCAAGAGUGGGGAAUAGUGCACAAUGGGCGGAAGCCUGAUGCAGCAACGCCGGGUGCGGGAUGACGGCCUUCGGGUUGUAAACCGCUUUCGCCUGUGACGAAGCGUGAGUGACGGUAAUGGGUAAAGAAGCACCGGCUAACUACGU